rnacentral:tRNA from 1 species
CAAAGUUUAGUUUCUAAAUUUUUUGUUUACACCAAAAAGAUCUCUGGUAGAGUGCUUAUA